rnacentral:rRNA from 1 species
UACGUAGGGUGCGAGCGUUGUCCGGAAUUAUUGGGCGUAAAGAGCUCGUAGGCGGUCUGUCGCGUCGGUCGUGAAAACCUGCAGCUUAACUGUGGGCUUGCGGUCGAUACGGGCAUGACUGGAGUUCGGCAGGGGAGACUGGAAUUCCUGGUGUAGCGGUGAAAUGCGCAGAUAUCAGGAGGAACACCGGUGGCGAAGGCGGGUCUCUGGGCCAAUACUGACGCUGAGGAGCGAAAGCGUGGGGAGCGAACAGG